UGUAGGAGUGAGCCUGCUCGCGAUGGCGUCAGUCCAUUCAGAAUGGUUGUCGCCUGACAUGCCGUCAUCGCGAGCAGGCUCACUCCUACA
rnacentral:antisense_RNA from 1 species